GUGACGUCGUCAGCGAAAAUCAGUCUUGUGUACGCUGACGUUUAUUUCGGGAAAUCGCGAGAUAAAAAUCUUGUACGAAAAUGCGCUGGAUAUUUCGUCUUUUUCAUACAAUUUCUCCGCUCAUAAUUUAUGACAUGCUUUGAAAAUUUCCACAAUAUAGCAUGUAUAUGUCCUUUAAACACUGGCACAAUUGGUUGUUUGUAAUCCGCUUAUUUAAUUCAAAUUAUUCCCCUUGAAAGACACUGUUUCGUUUGAGCAGUUCACAGGUAGCGCAACCUGUCUCGUAGUGUUCAUUUUCAAUGGCUAUUAAACGCUGUAAAUCAAAAUGACAUCGUGUACUUAUGGAUGUCUUCAAUUGAAGAAGGUUCGGAAAUGAUAUUUCCACAUGCUUAAAAUAGGUUGGGAAGUUACGGUGUUGGCGAACAGCAUUCUCACUAUCAGUGUGACAACUGUUGCGGCCAAAAUAAAAACAACAUAGUCAUCUGGUACCUUCUUUGGAGAGUUCUUGUAGGUUUACACAGAAUCAUCACACUAAGCUUUAUGUUGAUAAGACAUACAAAGUUUACACCAGAUUGGCACUUUGGCAUCUGAAAGUCAAAGUGGAGGUAAAUUCCUUAUCACAGUAUGGUGUAUGUGACCUGCAUGAUCCUUCUUGAUAAACCUUGUUUGCAUUUCCAUAGGUCUAUCCAGUUGUAUAGUUCUGCCAUGUAAUAAAAUAUAAAAAUAAUAAAACAUAAAUCAAUUAAAAAUAGUGUGUAGGUACUUUAUGUCUUGUAACAGGAAAAUAAAUAUUCAUUUUAAUAGU